GACGAACGCUGGCGGCGUGCCUAAUACAUGCAAGUAGAACGCACAGUUUAUACCGUAGCUUGCUACACCAUAAACUGUGAGUUGCGAACGGGUGAGUAACGCGUAGGUAACCUGCCUGGUAGCGGGGGAUAACUAUUGGAAACGAUAGCUAAUACCGCAUAAUAUUGAUUAUUGCAUGAUAAUUGAUUGAAAGAUGCUAUUGCAUCACUACCAGAUGGACCUGCGUUGUAUUAGCUAGUAGGUGAGGUAACGGCUCACCUAGGCGACGAUACAUAGCCGACCUGAGAGGGUGAUCGGCCACACUGGGACUGAGACACGGCCCAGACUCCUACGGGAGGCAGCAGUAGGGAAUCUUCGGCAAUGGACGAAAGUCUGGCCGAGCAACGCCGCGUGAGUGAAGAAGGUUGUCGGAUCGUAAAGCUCUGUUGUAAGAGAAGAACGGGUGUGAGAGUGGAAAGUUCACACUGUGACGGUAUCUUACCAGAAAGGGACGGCUAACUACGUG
rnacentral:rRNA from 1 species